GCGUGCAGGAAGAAGGCCUUCGGGUUGUAAACUGCUUUUGUACGGAGCGAAAAGGCUCUCUCUAAUACAGGGGGCUCAUGACGGUACCGUAAGAAUAAGCACCGGCUAACUACGUGCCAGCAGCCGCGGUAAUACGUAGGGUGCGAGCGUUAAUCGGAAUUACUGGGCGUAAAGCGUGCGCAGGCGGUUGUGUAAGACAGGCGUGAAAUCCCCGGGCUCAACCUGGGAAUGGCGCUUGUGACUGCACGGCUGGAGUGCGGCAGAGGGGGAUGGAAUUCCGCGUGUAGCAGUGAAAUGCGU
rnacentral:rRNA from 1 species